rnacentral:lncRNA from 1 species
AAACUAGUGCAGCUGAUCCGUGCCAUAGGUUAAGGCCUAUCCCACUUUUUAGGCUUGGUAUCACAUCACCACAAAUAAACAAGUUUAUUUCCAUAAAAUAAACAAGUUUAUAUCCAUGCAAUCACUUCACCAAUCAAAUCCAUCAUGUAUAUCUCCCUUCACGAAGACCACAUGCAUGCAUGAUGAUUCCUUCAUCAUCUUAAACUCUAAAAAAACAAUUGAUGAAAUUCAUCAUCAUAUCCCAAAAAACCACGUGCCUUGACCCUGUCCAUGAAUUCAAGGUCCAUUUGAACUGCACCACCCACUUCUAUAUCAGAAACAAGACACAUAGGAGACUACAUACACUUGGAAUCUGUUAUGAUAAGCCAAUUUAAAUGUCUCCGCGCAAUCCUUUGAAGAUAGAUUAGAUCAUUUUUCCAAAACAACCAACUGGAUAUAUCAAAAAUUAGGUUUUAACUAUCCCAGUUAAUAUUAAGAGAUAAUAUUAUGAUUAAAAUAAUAUUACUUCUCAAUAAUAACUAAAAAUCAUCUCAACCACUUUAUUAUCCAACGGUUUAAUAUCUGCUUAUUCAACGGCCUCAAUUGCUCGGGCCGAUGAUGUAAAUUUGGGUCCAAACAUUGCCCCCUAAUUUCCUUGAACUUCGGCUCGUAAGCCGAAAGGUUAAGGAAAUUAAUUGUUCGUAUCACCGAAAAAGAAACUUUGUUCCUCGGCAAUAACAUGUAUGUUCUGCCAACGUUGCGACCUCCCUCAACUGCUAUAACUCCAUACCAGGCUCGGCAAUUUUGCCAGAAGAUCGAGAAGAAUUUUUCUUGGCAGCUCGUCUUGCCUAGAUAUAUAUACACACUAAGCCGAGGUCGAGAAGCUCGGAACGAAGGCAAGCAGAAAGAAUACAGCAACAGUGAACAUCAUGGCGCUGAGAUAAUAUUCUGUUGAUUGGCACUUUUUUGUAGUCACAUCCACAUGUUUACCAUCUAAUCCCUCGACCGUUUAGUUCCUCGAAAAACUCAAAACUUCACGUCCAAGCUUUAUAUAUAUAUAUAUAUAUAUAUAUAUAUAUAUAUAUAUGGUUUUGGCCAAGGCUUAUAUAUGCAGUUUUGUAAAGUGGCCGAGGAAAGUCUAUGACGUCGGCCUGCCUUUAUACAUAUAUAUAUGGGUCACGAUAGCACCAUAUUUGAGUCACAUCAAAUCUUUUAUGCUUCACCAAACCACUACCCACCAUUCAACUAUUGUAAAAUAAAGGGAGGGUGGAAUCUUGUCAGGGAAAGUGGUUUCAAUCCACUUUUCUCGGCCAGAUGAGAAAAGUCACCUACUCUUACGUCGAAAGGUCGAGUAAAGGUAAACCAAAUGGCGACCGAACCAUGACUUGAGGGUUAAAGGUAUUUAUUGAUCUUAAUUUUCAACCCACUUUCCUCGACUUUUCUACCUUCGACUUCGGCCUAAUGGUCCUUGGCCGAAUUCUUAUGCAUAAUCACAUGCAUUGGCCUGAGGCCAACUACACACUGCACGCCAAAAUGCUUGCAGCAUAGAAUGUUUUCGCAGUAGUCAAAUAUGCUCGACCAGCAUGAUCCUGCUUGUCUGCCUUGCCAAAAACAUUUAACGCAAAUCCCUCAAGGUACAGAUUGAAACAAUUCUCGCAAAUCCCCAACUUCAGUGACUUCUUAUCUUUUUCAAACUGCUUCAUUUGGUGAAACUUGACCGCCAAGCUUGGUGGCUAUUCUCAAUGGUACCCUGGUAAGCUCACCACGCCAUGAAUAGAAUGCCACCUCCACACAACUUAUAGCUGCAAGAAGACUUUCUCGCUUGAGGAGAUUUCUUUGAUGGUGUUGACAAAGAUGAAGAAGAUCGCAGAGGUGUAGAUGACCUUCUCGGCGAGGGCUAGUCCUGCCUAUAUAUAUAUAUAUAUAUAUAUAUAUAUAUAUAUAUAUAUAUAUAUAUAUAUAUAUAUAUAUAUAUAUAUGAAAUUGAAAUUGUUCCUAAAGCUCGGCCUGCCACUAAUAUCGAGAAAAAUUGAAAUUGGGCCGAGGUCGACGAUCUGGCCGAGAUUCCAUUUCGCAAUUAUGCCGAGAUUCCAAUGUGAUUGCAUAAGGCUGCCAUGCACAUUUUUUUCCAUUCCUUCGGCAAAAGUUUUUUUUUUUUUUUUUUUUUUUUUUUGGUUUUUUUUUUUUUGUUUUGUUUUGUUUUGUUUUUUUGGGCCAAAAUUGUCUGACCAAAAUCGUCUAACCAUCUAUUGCCCCCCUUAUUUUCUCAAGUAUCGGCCCAUAAAGCCGAAUGGUCGAGAAAAUAAUUUAUUUCUUUUUUAACAAAAGAAAAACAAAAGUGGCUGAACUAAUAAAGAGGAGGAGGCCAACGAUGCUUUAUUCCAAGCCGAGAUCUUAGGCUGAAUAAAAAAAAUUCUCUAAAUAUUUUUAACUUGACGAAAUGUUUUUCAUUUGCGGCUACCGAAUGUGUGGAACAAUUAUUUUGCCCCCCAGGCAUAAUUUUUUCACCAAUUUCGGCUUUUAACUCGAACAACUUAGCCGAACGAGAUUUCUCUAUAUCGGCUUUAUCACCAAUAAUCAUAUCGAUUGGCGUGGUUUUGGCGUCUAAGACCAUAUCUCCAAUUACCUUAUCAAUUGAUGUGGUUUUAUGGUCCAAAGCCAUGUAUCGAUCUUGUUCGUCAUUGGAACACUCCUCUGACGAAUCAUUUUCCAAGUUGAUUUGUGACUCAGAAAUUUGAACUUUUUCUUCUAGGCCUACCACACUUUCAGUCUCGACCGAGACAACAGGUGGCCUAGGUGUUACUUCGGCCGUCUUGGCAAUUUCCUGAGGCCGAAUUUUGAUUGUGGCCGAAAUGAAAAAUUGCCCCCCAGCCUUUGCACUUAACCAUUUUUCAACUGGAAUUGAUCUGUAGUCGGAAACGGAAGGAAAACGUUCUUCAUCUAGCCAAACAUUAAAUCGAGCCCUAUCUUCGUUUACCCAUUGCUCUUGUAGGGGAACAGGAGCUUUUACUCUCAACAUGUAAGCAAAUGACUUUUGCAUCUCUCUAUGGCCACGAAGAACUUUUUCCACUUCUAAAGAUCUUUUAUAUUCCUCAUUGUGUUUUUUCAAUUCCUUUAGAAGCUCGUACAAUCGGCUACAUGGAGCCGGAUUGACAUCUUGAUAUAUCAUAUGAACUUCGUAGUUUUAGCACUGGGUCCCACUGGGCGUGCCAAAAUGUUGACCCUAAAAACUACCAAGCCUACGUGGUGCGCAGGCCGAGUAAUCUAUAAGCUAACUACGUCAUUCGGUGAUUGCGGGGCGUGCCAACUCGUCGGCCAAGCUCGACCGAGGAGUAAAUUUGUUGAUGUUGCGUUAGGUCGCGCUACUGACUUCUGCGUCUUGUGAUUGCGGCCGAGAAAGGAACACGUCUCGGCCUCUUGGGCUCUCGAACCUGAAGACAAGGUUACUAUUCUUACGAAGUUCAAUAUCAAAUUCGGCUUUCAAUGUGCCGAAUGUAAUAACUGUAACACCUCACUUUGCCGAGAAGGCUAAUGAGAUGACCUCGACCAAUAAGGGUUCAGAGACCCUUCUCAACCGAGACUUGGAUAGGUAAUCAACCGUUCUCGCCGCAGUGCUGUUGAUGCCAACGGAAGAUACUACGAGACCGAUUGAUUCUACGGUGACAGAGCUAUCUAUGCCGACUUAAGAUAUCACCGGCUGCUUCCACAGUGCUGUUGAUGCCAACGGAAGAUGUGUCAGCGAAAAAGGAAAAAGAAAAUCUCAAAGUUGUUGAGAGAGUUUGCGCAGGGCAGUUUUGUAUUGAUUUGCAGGGGACCUGUGCGCUGCUCAUGUUUCUGUAUUUAUAGAACAUCUUUACCUCUGCACGGCCUAAUAAUUAAGUAGAGUUCAUCUGCAAUUCAAACUAGUGCAGCUGAUCCGUGCCAUAGGUUAAGGCCUAUCCCCCUUUUUAGGCUUGGUAUCACAUCACCACAAAUAAACAAGUUUAUUUCCAUAAAAUAAACAAGUUUAUAUCCAUGCAAUCACUUCACCAAUCAAAUCCAUCAUGUAUAUCUCCCUUCACGAAGACCACAUGCAUGCAUGAUGAUUCCUUCAUCAUC